CAUAAUGUAGCUAAGAAAAAGUACAGCACCUCCCUUACACAGAGGAAAUAUCCGUGCAAAUCGGAUCAUUUUGA
rnacentral:tRNA from 1 species